GCCAAGAUCCCAGCAUGAUAAAUGUCCAGUCCUCUGCUGAAUAUGAUAACAUCCAAAGCUAUGAUGAAUAAAAUCUUUGGUUUUAGAAGCUAAAGGAUUGGCUGGCAGCAUGGCAUUUUGGGAGCAGCAAUAUCCCUCUCCAGAGAUGUCUGCAUUUCAGUACAGUCUCAUUGGCUGCCAUGUUAGUUUGGUUCAAGAGCACACACCUCAAACCUCUCACCUCAAAUGCUUGGAACGUGAGUCCUACAUGAAACCCCU